ACGGAAGGCAGCAGUGGGGAAUAUUGGACAAUGGGCGCAAGCCUGAUCCAGCGACGCCGCGUGAGUGAAGAAGUAUUUCGGUAUGUAAAGCUCUAUCAGCAGGGAAGAUAGUGACGGUACCUGACUAAGAAGCACCGGCUAAAUACGUGCCAGCAGCCGCGGUAAUACGUAUGGUGCAAGCGUUAUCCGGAUUUACUGGGUGUAAAGGGAGCGCAGACGGCAUGGCAAGCCAGAUGUGAAAGGCAGGGGCUCAACUCCUGGACUGCAUUUGGAACUGUCAAGCUAGAGUAUCGGAGAGGUAAGUGGAAUUCCUAGUGUAGCGGUGAAAUGCGUAGAUAUUAGGAGGAACACCAGUGGCGAAGGCGGCUUACUGGACGAUAACUGACGUUGAGGCUCGAAAGCGUGGGGAGCAAACAGGAUUAGAUACCCUGGUA
rnacentral:rRNA from 1 species